rnacentral:misc_RNA from 1 species
ACACCUCAACUUCUCAUGGUUUGCCAUGAUGAGCUUGGACUUUGUGGGGGUCUUGCCGGCCUAUGGUUGGCUCCUCUCAAAUGGAUCAGCUUGCCAGUGUUUGGUGGCAUCAUGGGUGUGAUAAAUAUCUACGCUUGUGGUUUUCCACCAUGAUGUAACCUUCAGCGAUGGAGGUUUGCUGGAGCUCACAAAUGUCCCUCCUCAGCGAGGACAGCUUUUUGAAC